AACCAAGCAAGAUAUCUUCACUGAAGCUUCAUUGUUAGUGAUGUUUUAGUCACAGGUUGAAAAGGAAGAAUUUGUGACCCAGAAAACAGAACAAGGUGCCAUACUUCAGUAACUGUCCUCAAUGUGAUACAGAUAGUAAAACCUACCUGUACAGGAUUGACCCCAUGUAAGGUCUGCGUUAACUUCAUCUACAUCAUCUCAAAGACGGCAAAAUUGUUAAGCAAAUCUUCCAUUACUUGUUUGACUCUGGUCAGAAGAACUGGAUCUGGGGUAGUGCCAUGUGUACCAAAGGCUAGCUGCAGAUAUUAAAAUAAAUGUCUCUGUGACUUGUUUAGUUUUGUCCUCGGAAUCCAUCUCUUCCCUCUCAGUUUUCUGGACUAGAUACAACUGGAAUUAUUGGUGUGGCUUCCCUAUAAGCAGGUAUGGUUGGAAAUCUUAUACCAGGGAGCUAAUU
rnacentral:lncRNA from 1 species